GACGAACGCUGGCGGCGUGCCUAAUACAUGCAAGUCGAGCGCAGGAAACUGACGGAACUCUUCGGAGGGAAGGCAGCGGAAUGAGCGGCGGACGGGUGAGUAACACGUAAGGAACCUGCCUCAAGGAUUGGGAUAACUCCGAGAAAUCGGAGCUAAUACCGGAUAGUUCAUCGGACCGCAUGGUCCGUUGAUGAAAGGCGCUCCGGCGUCACCUUGAGAUGGCCUUGCGGUGCAUUAGCUAGUUGGUGGGGUAACGGCCCACCAAGGCGACGAUGCAUAGCCGACCUGAGAGGGUGGUCGGCCCCACUGGGACUGAGACACGGCCCAGACUCCUACGGGAGGCAGCAGUAGGGAAUCUUCCACAAUGGACGAAAGUCUGAUGCAGCAACGCCGCGUGAGUGAUGAAGGUUUUCGGAUCGUAAAACUCUGUUGUGAGGGAAGAACACGUACGAGAGGGAAUGCUCGUACCUUGACGGUACCUUACGAGAAAGCCACGGCUAACUACGUGCCAGCCGCCGCGGUAA
rnacentral:rRNA from 1 species